rnacentral:rRNA from 1 species
UACGGGGGUGGCAAGCGUUAUCCGGAUUUACUGGGUUUAAAGGGUGCGUAGGUGGGCCUGUAAGUCAGUGGUGAAAUCUUCAAGCUUAACUUGGAAACUGCCCAUUGAUACUAUAGGUCUUGAAUUAUCUGGAGGUAAGCGGGAAUAUGUCCAUGUAGCGGUGAAAUGCUUAGAGAUGACAUAGAACACCCAUUGCGAAGGCAGCUUACUACGGAUUGAUUGACACUGAGGCACGAAAGCGUGGGGAGUCAAACAGGA